ACUUUAAGUAUCCUAAAGGGUUGUUCGAGACUAGAACGUUGAUAGGCAGGGUGUGUAAGCGUUGUGAGGCGUUGAGCUAACCUGUACUAAUUACCCGUGAGGCUUAACCAU
rnacentral:rRNA from 1 species